rnacentral:siRNA from 1 species
CAUCAAUUGCCCACAUCAAGGAAA